rnacentral:rRNA from 1 species
UACAGAGGUCUCAAGCGUUGUUCGGAUUCAUUGGGCGUAAAGAGCUCGUAGGCGGCUUGGCAAGUCGGGUGUGAAAACUUCAGGCUCAACCUGGAGCGGCCACUCGAUACUGCCAUGGCUUGAGUCCGGUAGGGGACCACGGAAUUCCUGGUGUAGCGGUGAAAUGCGCAGAUAUCAGGAGGAACACCGAUGGCGAAGGCAGGGUCUCUGGGCAUUAACUGACGCUGAGGAGCGAAAGCAUGGGGAGCGAACAGG